rnacentral:rRNA from 1 species
UGCGGAGGGAUCAUUACAAGAACGCCCGGGCUUCGGCCUGGUUAUUCAUAACCCUUUGUUGUCCGACUCUGUUGCCUCCGGGGCGACCCUGCCUUCGGGCGGGGGCUCCGGGUGGACACUUCAAACUCUUGCGUAACUUUGCAGUCUGAGUAAACUUAAUUAAUAAAUUAAAACUUUUAACAACGGAUCUCUUGGUUCUGGCAUCGAUGAAGAACGCAGCGAAAUGCGAUAAGUAAUGUGAAUUGCAGAAUUCAGUGAAUCAUCGAAUCUUUGAACGCACAUUGCGCCCCCUGGUAUUCCGGGGGGCAUGCCUGUUCGAGCGUCAUUUCACCACUCAAGCCUCGCUUGGUAUUGGGCAACGCGGUCCGCCGCGUGCCUCAAAUCGUCCGGCUGGGUCUUCUGUCCCCUAAGCGUUGUGGAAACUAUUCGCUAAAGGGUGUUCGGGAGGCUACGCCGUAAAACAACCCCAUUUCUAAGGUUGACCUCGGAUCAGGUAGGGAUACCCGCUGAACUUAAGCAUAUCAAUAAGCGGAGGA